rnacentral:pre_miRNA from 1 species
GUUGUACUCCCUCUGUCCGGAAUUACUUGUAAUCAAAAUGGAUGAAAAUGGAUGCAUCUAGAACUAAAAUACAUCUAGAUACAUCCAUUUCAAUGACAAGUAUUUUCGGACGGAGGGAGUAAUAU